rnacentral:rRNA from 1 species
AUUGAACGCUGGCGGCAGGCCUAACACAUGCAAGUCGAACGAGUGGCGGACGGGUGAGUAAUGUCUGGGAAACUGCCCGAUGGAGGGGGAUAACUACUGGAAACGGUAGCUAAUACCGCAUACCAUCGGAUGUGCCCAGAUGGGAUUAGCUGGUAGGUGGGGUAACGGCUCACCUGGGCGACGGACCCUAGCUGGUCUGAGAGGAUGACCAGCAACACUGGAACGGGGCCACGGUCCAGAUGCCUACGGGAGGAGGCAGUGGGGAAUAUUGCACAAUGGGCGAAAGCCUGAUGCAGCCAUGCCGCGUGUAUGAAGAAGUCCUUCGGGCUGUAAAGUACUUUCAGCGAGGAGGCGUUACUCGAAGAAGAAGCACCGGCUAACUCCGUGCCAGCAGCCGCGGUAAUUC